rnacentral:rRNA from 1 species
ACGCUGGCGGCGUGCCUAACACAUGCAAGUCGAACGAAGCUGCGGUGAAGGAGGCUUCGGCCAAUGGAUCCGUAGACUUAGUGGCGGACGGGUGAGUAAUGCGUGAGCAACCUGCCCUUCAGAGGGGGACAACAGUUGGAAACGACUGCUAAUACCGCAUGAUAUCAUCGGGAGGCAUCUUCUGAUGAUCAAAGAUUUUAUCGCUGAAGGAUGGGCUCACGUCUGAUUAGCUAGUUGGUGAGGUAACGGCUCACCAAGGCUGCGAUCAGUAGCCGGACUGAGAGGUUGAACGGCCACAUUGGGACUGAGAUACGGCCCAGACUCCUACGGGAGGCAGCAGUGGGGAAUAUUGGGCAAUGGGCGCAAGCCUGACCCAGCAACGCCGCGUGAAGGAAGAAGGCUUUCGGGUUGUAAACUUCUUUUAUGAGGAACGAAGGACGUGACGGUACCUCAUGAAUAAGCCACGGCUAACUACGUGCC